GGAGAGGGAGGAGCAGAAGAAUCAAGCGGGCAACGUGGAGAGGCAGCAACUCGACGUGUUGGAGAGUGGCCUCAGACUACGCCGCGUUAGUUGUGUUUUAACCCUGACUGUAUGAUCGUGAAUGACUCGUCAGUCAUCCUUCUUUUGAUAGAGUGAGUUUUGGGACUGUUUACUGCAGACACAGCAUGUGUUUAUCUCUACUAUGAAGAAGCUACCUGAGUUAGCUUAGCUAUCGCGGGAGAGAAGUCGCCUGCAUUCUUCGCAUUCCAGCUGGUAGGGACAUCGGGAGUGGACCGCUGACCUGUGGAGCUUCAGCGGAUGUUACUGGUGUGUGUCGGGUGCAGAGGAAGGACCUUCUCGCUGUUGCUACGUGAUCCUGGGGAUGGUGCUACAUAUCGCUGCUGUGCGGAUUCAGCAAGCUCUCUAAACUGCACAAACCUGUAGAGAAUUCCACGUCUGCCUGAUAAACCACAUAUACAAGGUAUCCAUCAGUUCCCCACUGGAGAGCCGAUGAAUGCAACAAGCAGCACUUAAGAAUGGGACUAUUUGUAUGAGGGAUUCUUGCGUGAGGCACAUUGGUUCUGUUUCCUUGACAAGCUCAUUUUGCAAUUUGGCAGGAAAUCAUGGGACCCAUUAAAAUAAGCAUUACCAUGUUCUUAAUAUAUAUGGCUCAGAAUUUCCAUCAAAUGAACCCAAGCAUAAAAUCUACCAGUGCAUGUCUCAACUCACUGAGCAUGUAAAUGAAAACCUCUGCUAAGGUAAUAAAGUGCAUUAUUAAUACAAUACUGCAAUACCUGUUUUUUACUCCUGUAGUUGCACUGGUACAUUUGAGUAGCUCCUGUGUAUCACCUGCAGUAUUGCUGUUUGUACACAAUGUGAAAGACAGUAGAGAACUUCAUUAGGGCCCUGGCAGAGAGAGCGGUGAUCUGAUGAAGUGUCGCCUGAGUGAGCAGGCUUUGCUGCAAAGUCACAGCAUCACCUCUUUCUCCAACAAAGACAAACAGAGAGACAUGCAGGAAAAAAAAUGUUGCACCUGUCUGAAUCUCUAUAAGUUUAGCUGCAUCUGUCCAGAGCUUGACUGUAUUUCUCAUCAAGUGUUGAUCCAGUUUUGUUGUUGGCUCUGAGUUUGUGAGUUUUCAGUUUGUAUCAGCAAAGAAGAGGUGUAGCACAGUGCCUCUCUGAAUGUGCCAGCUAGCAUCAGGGCCUAUCUGUGUAGGGCGCAGGCUGCUGGAUCAGCAUUUAGCUCAAAGAGAAAAAAAACUCUGUUCUCAGGCCAUGAAGCUCAUGAGAGGCCACAUGGGGUGAAGGCUACAUACUGGAAUCUCUUCUCAUUGUUCUACCUCCUAGUUUUCCUCCAUCUCCUUUGUGUGUGUUAGGUUUUCUCAGUUUUUCUGCCAUUUCUGUGCUUAUCGCUCUCCUCUUUUCCUCCUCUUAAAUCCCUCACUUUCAUCUCUAGUGCUCAUUUCAAAUAUGAGUUUUUUUUCCUUCCCAUGAAAUCAGAAACCUCUCGCCUUUUUUUAAUUCAACUUAAGACGGCAGUAAAGUCAGCAUCCUUUCACAUCAGCAUGUCAGUUAUAGCCCCCAGAGCCAGCACCGGUUGCCAGAAAAGAGGAGAAAAGCAGACUCUGUAAGGGCCACUUCAACAUAGCUUGUAAUCUUCCCAAGAGUUCACCUUGAUGUAAAUGUGCAGCUAAUCAAUACACAACAUUAAAG